AGAGUUUGAUCCUGGCUCAGGAUGAACGCUGGCGGCGUGCUUAACACAUGCAAGUCGAACGGGAAGCGGUGUAUUUUUACUUCGGUAAUUUUGCGCCGUGGAGAGUGGCGAACGGGUGCGUAACACGUAGGUAACCUGCCCUGAAAUGGGGGAUAACCAUGGGAAACUGUGGCUAAUACCGCAUAAUCUCGCCGGGACGGGAGUACCGGUGAGGAAAGCUGAGGCGAUUUGGGAGGGGCCUGCGGUCGAUUAGCUGGUUGGUGGGGUAAAGGCCCACCAAGGCGAUGAUCGAUAGCUGUUCUGAGAGGAAGACCAGCCACACGGGAACUGAGACACGGUUCCGACUCCUACGGGGGGCAGCAGUGAGGAAUAUUGCGCAAUGGGGGAAACCCUGACGCAGCAACGCCGCGUGGAGGACGAAGGUUUUCGGAUUGUAAACUCCUUAUCUGGGGGAAGAGAGAGGACGGUACCCCAGGACGAAGACACGGCUAACUAGGUGCCAGCAGCCGCGGUAAUACCUAGGUGUCGAGCGUUAUCCGGAAUUACUGGGCGUAAAGGGUGCGCAGGCGGCGAUACAAGUCUGGCGUGAAAGCUUCUGGCUUAACUGGGAGAGGACGUUAGAAACUGUAUGGCUAGAGUGAAUGAGAGGGGGGCGGAAAUCCCGGUGUAGUGGUGGAAUGCGUAGAUAUCGGGAAGAACACCAGAGGCGAAGGCGGCCUCCUGGCAUUUUACUGACGCUGAGGCACGAAAGCGUGGGUAGCGAACGGGAUUAGAUACCCCGGUAGUCCACGCUGUAAACGAUGUGAACGAGGUGUGGGCGGUGUAGAAGCCGUCUGUGCCGGAGCAAACGCGAUAAGUUCACCGCCUGGGGAGUACGGUCGCAAGGCUAAAACUCAAAGGAAUUGACGGGGGCCCGCACAAGCAGCGGAGCGUGUGGUUUAAUUCGAUGAUAAGCGAAGAACCUUACCUGGGCUUGACAUGCAUUUGACAACCCAUGAAAAUGGGCUUUCCUUCGGGACAGAUGCACAGAUGUUGCAUGGCUGUCGUCAGCUCGUG
rnacentral:rRNA from 1 species